AAAUUCCAAAGUUCCCCAAAGUUCUUUAAUGGAACUGAUAAAUCUAUCAGCACAGCAUCCAUUUAGAAGCUAGGACACAGGGAUAUACACUUUCCCCACAGUCUAGGAUAAAGACAAUUGGGUUUCAGAAUCCACAAAGAACACAGCACUCAAGGCCAGUGAUGGACGGGAGGCAAGCCACAACAGAGAUGCCUUCCCCAGACACGCUAAUCACAGUGCUGAGGUCCAGUGAAGGCAACUCAGUGCCUGUGUGCUCAGCAAAGCAGAAUAUCCGACCAACCAGACUUGCUUCUCAUUAGCUUUGAUGCCCCCGAUUGCAGCUAAACUAAGUCCAGGCACUAUUUUCCUGAUGAACUACAAACUGAAAUAAGAAGUAAAAUCUACAGGAAAAAUUCAAAAGUCACCACUUGCGCUGUCAGGCUAGUGGUCUCCAGUUUUCCAACAUGGAAUCUGAAACAUGCACAAUAGGAAGGGAACGGGACAGUCUUAUCAGGAGCAGCACCUCUGAAAAAAACUGUGCAGGGAAUAUCAGGUUAACGGUAAAAUUUCAGUGGUGUCUCAGUACAGAGAUGAAAAUUAUGCUUUUGUAAUUUUAAUCUUCCCCAGGAAAAUGAUAUGCUAUAAUAUGAAUAGUCUUCAUUAUUCAAUAUAUAGAAUGUGCUACUCAACCUGAUGUGGCUGAGUG